rnacentral:lncRNA from 1 species
AGUGGUUGCAGCAGAAAUUAUUAUGUUGCUAUUUGCUAGGUAUAUGGUGGGGUGGCUAUGUGACGAUGCUUGUGAAUGGCUAUGUGACGAUGCUUGUGAAUUGCUACUACGUGACUGGUGCUUGUGAAUUGUUGAUGUUUGGCGGGUAUGGGUGACCCGCUGGGUCUAAUUUACCCACCCGGGUAUGGGUCUGGAGAAAUUCCCCCACCCAU